UUCAUUGCGGUGCGCGGGCUUUUCAUCGUGGUGGCUUCUCUUGUUGCAAAGCACAGGCUCUAGGCACACAGGCUCAGUAGUUGUGUCGCACAGGCUUCAUGUGGGAUCUUCCCAGACCAGGGCUUGAAGCCGUGUCCCCUGCAUUGACAGGCGGAUUCUUAACCACUGUGCCACCAGGGAAGCCCAGCAAUUUGGUUUUCUCUCUCACAGUUUUGAGGGUUGGCUGGGCUCUGCCGGGAUCUCAUGCAGUUGCAGCCUCUGCACGCGUCUGCCUGGAUUUCCUCCCAGCGAGGCUAUCCCAGACUCCUCACGUGGCAGCUGACUUCCCCAAAAACGAGGUUCCAAGAAGCCUGGGCAGAAGCUGCCAGGCUUCUUAAGACUCAGAAGUUCCCAGAACCAUCACUUCUACAGCAUGCUACUGGUCAGUACGCAGGCCUCUCACUGUUGUGGCUUCUCCCAUUGCGGAGCACAGGCUCCCGACGCGCAGGCUCAGUGGCCAUGGCUCACGGGCCCAGCCGCUCCGCGGCACGUGGGAUCUUCCUGGUCCAGGGCACGAACCCGUGUCCCCUGAAUCGGCAGGCGGACUCUCAACCACUGCACCACCAGGGAAGCCCUACCUUAACCAUUUUUAAGUGUACAGGUUGGCGGCAUUACAUGCAGUCACAAUGCUGGGCAGAAAUCACCACCAUCAUCCCCAUAACUCCUUUCAGCUUGUAAAACUGAAACUCUGUCCCCAUUAAACACAAACUACCCCUUCUCCCCACCCUUGGCCCCUGGCAGUCACCACUGUACUUUCUGUCUCUGUGAGUUUCAGUACUCUAAGUACCUCAUAUGAGUGGAAUCCUGUAGUAGUUGCCUGCCAUUAAGUCUUUUCAAGGACAGUUUCUGUUGAUUUUUUUUUCCUUUGAACUGGCCAUAUUUCCUGUUUCUUUGUGUGCCUUGUGAUUUUUUGUUGAGCACUGGGACAUUUAAAUCUAAUAAUGUGGUAACUCUGGAAGUCAGAUUCUCCCCCUCCCCAGGGUUUGCUGUUUUUUGUUGUUGUUUGGGGGCUUUUUUUUUUUUUGGAAUGUUGUAGGCUGUCUCUGUGACUGAGGUGUGAACUUAAUGUGUUCUUAGGUCUUUUCUGAGCCUUUCCUUGGGCACACGCAGUCACUUGCUAAUUUUCCCCAUAGAUGCAGGUUUUUUGUUUUGUUUUGUUUUGUUUUAAUGUUCUAGUCUUUAAUGUCUGACUCCUGAAAGGGGAAAAUCGUUAAAAGAUGGGGAUUAAUACUCAAUGCUCUGUGGUGACCUAAAUGGGAAGGAAAAGGAAAUCCAAAAAAGAGGGGAUAUAUGUAUAUGUAUAGAUUCACUUU